rnacentral:rRNA from 1 species
UACGUAGGGUGCAAGCGUUAAUCGGAAUUACUGGGCGUAAAGCGUGCGCAGGCGGUUUUGCAAGACAGAUGUGAAAUCCCCGGGCUCAAUCUGGGAACUGCAUUUGUGACUGCAAGGCUAGAAUCUGGCAGAGGGGGGUAGAAUUCCACGUGUAGCAGUGAAAUGCGUAGAUAUGUGGAGGAAUACCGAUGGCGAAGGCAGCCCCCUGGGCUAAGAUUGACGCUCAUGCACGAAAGCGUGGGGAGCAAACAGG